GUUCACGGAAAAAUGUCUCAGGUGUUGAACAAAACUUCAGUUCUCGACUCAACAGCCCUUUCAUGCUGAUCCCUGUAUGAUCAGUCAUGCAUCUCUCAGGUGACAAAGGAGAGAAUGAGCAAGUAUGAGUCAGUUUACUGCUAAACCUCAUGCUGUUAACAUCUCGGGAAAUUGUGCUCUGAAUGUUUUUGUGUUUUGCCUUUUUGCUGCUUAUUAUUAAAUACGUAAGUAAGUCAUCAUGGGUCCUAAGAAAGUUAGUGAUACCAAAGUGAAAAGGAAAGUUGUGAGAACAACGAUAGAGCUUAAAAAAGAAAUAAUUGCAAAUUAUGAUAAAGGUGUUCGUGUGUCUGAUCUGGCUACCAAGUAUGGCAUGGCAAAAUCGACAAUUAGCACAAUUUUAAAACAUAAAGAGGCCAUCAAGAAAGCUGAUGUUGCUAAGGGUGUAACAGUGCUCACAAAACAACGAUCACAGGCCAUUGAAGAGGUAGAAAAAUUGUUGUUGAUUUGGGUAAAUGAAAAACAGUUAGCCGGUGAUAGCAUUUCAGAGGCAAUGAUAUGUGAAAAAGCAAAGAUGCUGCAUACUGACCUCCUGAGAGACAGCCCUGAAAUGAGUGCUCAGAACGGUUCGUUUAAGGCUAGUAGGGGGUGGUUCGAUAAAUUUAAGAAAAGAAGUGGUAUUCACGUAGUGAGGCAUGGCGAGUCUGACAGUACUAACAAAGUAGCUGCUGAUAAUUUUGUGACAGAAUUUCAAGAAUUCAUCGAGGCUGAGGGAUUUGUUCCCCAACAAGUGUUCAAUUGUGAUGAGACAGGGCUCUUCUGGAAGAAAAUGCCAAAGAGGACCUACAUCACACAGGAGGAGAAGUCAUUGCCAGGACACAAGCCAGUGAAGGACCGGCUGACGUUACUAUUGUGCGGCAAUGCGAGUGGGGACUUCAAAUUGAAGCCUCUUCUCGUCUACCAUUCUGAAAACGUACGAGUUUUGGGGAAAAAUAAUGUCAUGAAAAACAAGUGGAAUGUGAUGUGGAGGGCUAACCGCAAAGCUUGGGUGACCAGGCAGUUUUUUAUUGAGUGGAUUCAUGAAGUGUUUGCCCCAAGUGUGAAGAAAUACCUCUGGGAAAAACAGUUGCCACUCAGGGCACUUCUUGUCAUGGACAAGGCUCCUGCCCACCCUCCAGGCUUGGAGGCCGAGCUGAUGGAGGAGCACAGCUUCAUCACUGUGAGGUUCUUGCCGCCUAACAUAACUCCGCUCAUCCAGCCCAUGGACCAGCAGGUCAUUUCUAACUUUAAGAAACUCUACACCAAAGCACUGUUCCAGAGGUGCUUUGAGGUGACCUCUGAAACUAAUUUAACCCUCCGGGAGUUCUGGAAGGAACAUUUUAAUAUCCUCACCUGCUUGAGGCUCAUAGAUGAAGCAUGGGGGGGAGUGUGUUCCAGGACCCUGCAGUCGGCCUGGAAGAAACUGUGGCCCGAGUCUGUUGCUGACAGAGCCUGUGAGGGCUGUGAGGACAAGCCUGUGUCUGUUGUGGAGGACAUCGUGUCUCUGGGCAAGUGCAUGGGCUUGGAGGUGGAUGAUGAUGAUGUGGAGGAGUUGGUGGAGGACCACAACACUGAGCUGACCACUGAGGAGCUCCAAGACCUUCAGAGGGAGCAGCAACAGCCGGCAGCUGAGGAGCCCUCUUCAGAGGGGGGAAGGGAGGAUAUUCCUACUUCACUUAUCAAGGGAAUGCUUGGGAAAUGGGGAGAAAUGCAAAGUUUCAUUGAGAAAUAUCACCCUGACAAAGAAGUAGCACACCGAGCAAUAAACUUGUUCAAUGACAAUGCAGUGUUUCACUUCAGGCAAAUGUUAAAACGCAGGCAAAAACAAUCAUUGGGUAGGUUUUUAGUGAGACAGAGGCCCAGUGAACCUGAAGCAAGUUCUAGUGGAGCAAAGAGACGAAAGAGAAAGAACCCCAGAAGAAUCGCUCCCUGAUGUGUUUACGGAAGGGAACUCCUCUUCCAAACAAGAACACCCUCCUCCAUAUUCAGCCACCAGUAGCUCUCAGCAUUCAAGAACUGCCAUAACAAAAUACCAUGAACCGGGUGGCUUAAACAACAGAAAGUUAUUGUGUCACAGUUCUGGAGGCUAGAAGUCCAUGAUCAAGGUGUCAGUGGGGUGGGUUCUUUCUGAGGGCCAUGAAUAAAGGGUCUGUCCCAGGUCACUCUCCUUGGCUCAUAGGUGACCAUGUUAUCCCUAAAUCUUCACAUUAUCAUCCCUCUGUAUCUGUGUGUGUUCAAAUUUCUCCUUUUUAUAAGCACGCCAGUCCUUUUAGGUUAGGGCUCACCCUAAUGAGCUCAUUUUAACUUGCUUACCUUUAUAAAGAACCCAUCUCCAAAAGAGUUCACAUUCUGAGGUAUUGAGGGUUAGUGCUUCCAUGUGGAUUUGGGUUGGGGGUGGGAAGGACACAAUUGAACUGUAACAAGCAUGGGAGGGUUCAGAGCCAUCUUAGUCGUUCUUAGGGACACAGAGGUUGACUCCAGGUUCACCCUACCAGUGGGCUGCCGCCUCAGUUGUCUGCCUGGGUCCCGAGCUGAGUGCCCAGGGUGAAGGAGGUUUUUUUAAGACAGUUCUCAUCAGGCCAUAAGGGACAGGCUUCUGCUUGCAGACUACCCCAUAGUGUCUGGCCUGGAUGAGGGCUCUGCAUCUCAGCCACUCAGCAGAGCAGCCCCACCUUGCUCUUCAGUGAGUCAGCAUAGCAGCUGUUCUGAUGUUUCCUCCAGUCCCAGCAUGGCACCAAGCUAGGCCAGAACGGACUCUGGUUCUGGUGUGAGAAGAGGCUUUAAUAAUGGCUUCAGUUUAGGAUUGCUUUUGCUUUGUCUUCUGAAACAGCAAAUAAACCUUGCAAAGGCUAUACCUGAGAUAAAGAAGGGAGCCCCAGCCUCAGUGGUAAGACGGCCACAAGGUCAGAGGGACUCAGACUGUGGGCAACCUCACUGCCUGUACUAAGAUUAAAGGUGUCAUCACCCAAAAACAGCUCAGACCCAUACAAGGGCAUCAUCUGUCACCCUGCCGGUCGGGCCCCCUUAGUCCACUGCGCAAGCUCCAUGCCUUAACUUUGUUAAAGACUCCUCUACCCCAGGCAAUGAUGCCUGGAAUUUCUCUCCUUAUAGGGCAUUUGGGGGAGUGCUAGCCAGUGGUCUACCGCAGACAAGUCCACUCCAUGGCUUUCCCCAGGGAUAUAAACAACUCUCUGUCAUUCAUAAUAACAGGGCAAUCAAUGUGCAUUCGCUUACUGGACGGCCAUUUUCCUAACACAGUGUCUUUAAACACCACAGCAAGCCCUACCACUGCUGCUCAUGGGGCACCAGGAACUCAUCUUGGCUGGUCUGUUACAGGAAUACAUUUAAUUUUGAGAGAGUCUUGAAGAUGUGAUUGAACUAUCCAGAGCCUGAUGACCCUCAGAUACCUGAUGCCUUGCAGGGCUGAAAGCUCAGACAGCAGCCAGUGACCCCAUCAAGGUUCAGGCAUAUGCUUUGUAAAGACCUGCAUUUCUUUUAUUUUUACAGUUUUGCCAAUUUUAUUAAACCAAUAAAAUUCCUACUAAUGACAAUGAAAUAAAUUUUUGCAAGUAAAAUGUUUAACAAAACCUAUUCUGUACCUAUAGAUUUCCAAAAUGUCAUAAAAAGUGCAGCUAUGAAUUGUUAACAUGUACACAGUUCCUUUAUUUCAAAUGUGUUUGUCUUGACUCACUAACAGUUCCUUCUGCAUCUGUUCAAAUAACAUUGCCCACCCCUCCAUAAAAAAAGGCAUUAAAGCACUAGAAUAUUACACAUACACUGAUCCAUUCCGGUCAGCUUUAGUCAGAGUUGUAAAAUCAGCAGCAUAAGAAAAAUAAAACCUAGUUGUACAUACAAAAAGCUUGCAUGGGUUCUAUAAUCUCCUUACUGACUCAUGUGGAGGCCAUAACAGUGGAGAAGGCUCAUAUGGGUAACUACCUCAGACUACAGCUACAGCAGAGUCUGGUUCGCCAGAACAAGUUUAAAGUGGCUGUUUAUCAAGUUUGCUAUUUUUGGAAUUGAAACUAUAAAUAUAAGUGCCAUUUGACAAUGCAAAUUGUGUAAAUCCUAAACUGCAUCAAUGAUCUAUUUGAUAAAAGCUUAUUCUAAUGGAAAACCCUAUAUAGUAAGAGAGUGAUAUAUAUGUAUAGCAGUCUUAAGAUCAUCUGCCUCAACAUUAGUGCAAAGUCACGUGCUUCGUAAAAAAACACACCACACAUUACAGUAACAAAGCAAAGAACUACAAAGGCAAAACAUCACAGCUUCUGAUUACAUUGAAUAAAAAGGACCAAGGAACACAAAAGAUAAUUCUGUAUUAAUACUGAUGAAUUAAAGAACUAUAGUAGACACUUAACAGCAUGCUAUAUAUAUUGCUCAGCACUUAAGGAUAAAAUGAAGUCUAAAUUUGAAAGUCAAGAAGUUGGCAAUCUGAUCUCAUGUGCAAUCCAGCUACAAAGUCUUAAUAUAUACAUUCAUCAUCUAGCUACCCUGCAAAAUCAGGACUUAAAAAUUAAGAUUUCAAGUUCAAAUCCUAUUUCAUAAGCUAAAGGAUACAUCCAGUUCUUAAAUGACCAGAGGACGUAUUUCCAGGUUGGAAGGAGCUAAUCCAAGUAGCAAGGCCAUGUUCCACGUCGACCUGACAGGGUCCUUUCUGACCUUGCUCAGACUGUGCCUGUGAUGUCACUCUUCUAGUAGCACAAAGAUGCAACACUGGCUGUGGUUGCUUUUUCUGUCUGUCCUAUCUUAGGUUGGAAAGAGUAAAUGUGAAGGGAAAGAGGAAGGGAAAAAUUGUAAUUUCUUUCCAGGAAGAUACGUGAAUGCAAAGGAAAUAACUGCCUUAGAGUUCCUAUAACUUCCCUUGAGGCACAAGGGUACCAUUUACCUCUUACAUUUUAUUUUAUUUUUUUAAUAUUUUUUAAUUGAUUUCAGGGAGGAAGGAAUAGAGAGAGAUAGAAACAUCAAUGAUGAGAGAGCAUCAUUGAUCGGCUGCCUCCUACAUGCCCCUUACUGGGGAUUGAACCCGCAACCCAGGCGUGUGCCUUUGGCCAGAAUCAAACCCAGGAUCCAUCAGUCAGCAGGCCGAUGCUCUAUCCACUGAGCCAAACUGGCCAGGGCACAUUUUAUUUUAGAGAAGCAGCAAAAUUCAGACAGUAGAAAACAACCUCCAUGUUACAAAGGAAGGCACUUGCUACCCAGUUGAUGUGUUUCCUUUAGCCUACAUUUUGAUUCUUCGUUACAAGAUUUAGAAGCCAGUUGGAAAUUUGUGCAGACUGAUUAAGAAAGAUGUACAAUCCAUUUCAUUCAGUGUCAUGAUGCAUACAUCUAGUUAGCCAGGGCUCGUACAUUUGCUUCUAAGAGGUUAAAUUGAGGGGUAGAAGAAAAGAGACUGUUUUUGCAAAUUUAUAUACCAAAAAUCAUAUUUGUUACAUUUAAACUUACUAAUGUUUGGUACUAUCCUAUGAGCUAUAAAACGGGGUGUUUGUUCUAAAUGCUAUUUUAUAGUAUGCAUUUCAUUAUUCCAAAAUUUCCACAAGCACUGCAAAGAAUCAUAUUCUUUCUUCCCCCUACCUCUUAUCUCCUUUUUUAAUUCUGUACUUCAUGGCGGUGCAGCCAUGAUGAAUGUAAAGCUAGAACAAAUACUUCAUGACUUGUGAUUUAAUAAAAACCAUUGCUUCAGUCUCCA